UACAGAGGGUGCAAGCGUUGCUCGGAAUCAUUGGGCGUAAAGCGUGCGCAGGCGGCCGGGUAUGUCGGACGUGAAAUCCCGAGGCUCAACCUCGGAACUGCAUCCGAAACUGCUCGGCUUGAGUACGGGAGAGGGAAGUGGAAUUCCCAGUGUAGAGGUGAAAUUCGUAGAUAUUGGGAGGAACACCGGCGGCGAAAGCGGCUUCCUGGCCCGAAACUGACGCUCAGGCACGAAAGCGUGGGGAGCAAACAGG
rnacentral:rRNA from 1 species